ACUCCUACGGGAGGCAGCAGUGGGGAAUAUUGCACAAUGGGCGCAAGCCUGAUGCAGCCAUGCCGCGUGUAUGAAGAAGGCCUUCGGGUUGUAAAGUACUUUCAGCAGUGAGGAAGGCGGGUACGUUAAUAGCGUGCUUGUUUGACGUUAGCUGCAGAAGAAGCACCGGCUAACUCCGUGCCAGCAGCCGCGGUAAUACGGAGGGUGCGAGCGUUAAUCGGAAUUACUGGGCGUAAAGCGCAUGCAGGUGGUUUGUUAAGUCAGAUGUGAAAGCCCGGGGCUCAACCUCGGAAUUGCAUUUGAAACUGGCAGACUAGAGUACUGUAGAGGGGGGUAGAAUUUCAGGUGUAGCGGUGAAAUGCGUAGAGAUCUGAAGGAAUACCGGUGGCGAAGGCGGCCCCCUGGACAGAUACUGACACUCAGAUGCGAAAGCGUGGGGAGCAAACAGGAUUAGAUACCCUGGUAGGAUACCG
rnacentral:rRNA from 1 species